AUUGAACGCUGGCGGCAGGCUUAACACAUGCAAGUCGAGCGGAGCGAGGGUGCUUGCACCUUAGCUUAGCGGCGGACGGGUGAGUAAUGCUUAGGAAUCUGCCUAUUAGUGGGGGACAACAUUCCGAAAGGAAUGCUAAUACCGCAUACGCCCUACGGGGGAAAGCAGGGGAUCUUCGGACCUUGCGCUAAUAGAUGAGCCGAAGUCGGAUUAGCUAGUUGGUGGGGUAAAGGCCGACCAAGGCGACGAUCUGUAGCGGGUCUGAGAGGAUGAUCCGCCACACUGGGACUGAGACACGGCCCAGACUCCUACGGGAGGCAGCAGUGGGGAAUAUUGGACAAUGGGCGGAAGCCUGAUCCAGCCAUGCCGCGUGUGUGAAGAAGGCCUUUUGGUUGUAAAGCACUUUAAGCGAGGAGGAGGCUACUUAGAUUAAUACUCUGGGAUAGUGGACGUUACUCGCAGAAUAAGCACCGGCUAACUCUGUGCCAGCAGCCGCAGUAAUAC
rnacentral:rRNA from 1 species